rnacentral:piRNA from 1 species
UAAAUACUGUUUUUUCAAAAC